rnacentral:rRNA from 1 species
UACGUAGGGUGCAAGCGUUGUCCGGAAUUAUUGGGCGUAAAGAGCUCGUAGGCGGCUUGUCACGUCGACUGUGAAAACCCGGGGCUCAACUCCGGGCCUGCAGUCGAUACGGGCUGGCUUGAGUGCGGUAGGGGAGACUGGAAUUCCUGGUGUAGCGGUGGAAUGCGCAGAUAUCAGGAGGAACACCGAUGGCGAAGGCAGGUCUCUGGGCCAUUACUGACGCUGAGAAGCGAAAGCAUGGGGAGCGAACAGG